UGGGGAAUAUUGCACAAUGGGCGCAAGCCUGAUGCAGCCAUGCCGCGUGUGUGAAGAAGGCCUUCGGGUUGUAAAGCACUUUCAGCGGGGAGGAAGGCGGUGAGGUUAAUAACCUCAUCGAUUGACGUUACCCGCAGAAGAAGCACCGGCUAACUCCGUGCCAGCAGCCGCGGUAAUACGGAGGGUGCAAGCGUUAAUCGGAAUUACUGGGCGUAAAGCGCACGCAGGCGGUCUGUCAAGUCGGAUGUGAAAUCCCCGGGCUCAACCUGGGAACUGCAUUCGAAACUGGCAGGCUAGAGUCUUGUAGAGGGGGGUAGAAUUCCAGGUGUAGCGGUGAAAUGCGUAGAGAUCUGGAGGAAUACCGGUGGCGAAGGCGGCCCCCUGGACGAAGACUGACGCUCAAGUGCGAAAGCGUGGGGAGCAAACGGG
rnacentral:rRNA from 1 species